rnacentral:rRNA from 1 species
AACUGAAACAUCUAAGUACCCCGAGGAAAAGAAAUCAACCGAGAUUCCCCCAGUAGCGGCGAGCGAACGGGGAGGAGCCCAGAGCCUGAAUCAGUGUGUGUGUUAGUGGAAGCGUCUGGAAAGGCGCGCGAUACAGGGUGACAGCCCCGUACACAAAAAUACACAUAUUGUGAGCUCGAUGAGUAGGGCGGGACACGUGGUAUCCUGUCUGAAUAUGGGGGGACCAUCCUCCAAGGCUAAAUACUCCUGACUGACCGAUAGUGAACCAGUACCGUGAGGGAAAGGCGAAAAGAACCCCGGCGAGGGGAGUGAAAAAGAACCUGAAACCGUGUACGUACAAGCAGUGGGAGCACGCUUAGGCGUGUGACUGCGUACCUUUUGUAUAAUGGGUCAGCGACUUAUAUUCUGUAGCAAGGUUAACCGAAUAGGGGAGCCGAAGGGAAACCGAGUCUUAACUGGGCGUUAAGUUGCAGGGUAUAGACCCGAAACCCGGUGAUCUAGCCAUGGGCAGGUUGAAGGUUGGGUAACACUAACUGGAGGACCGAACCGACUAAUGUUGAAAAAUUAGCGGAUGACUUGUGGCUGGGGGUGAAAGGCCAAUCAAACCGGGAGAUAGCUGGUUCUCCCCGAAAGCUAUUUAGGUAGCGCCUCGUGAAUUCAUCUCCGGGGGUAGAGCACUGUUUCGGCAAGGGGGUCAUCCCGACUUACCAACCCGAUGCAAACUGCGAAUACCGGAGAAUGUUAUCACGGGAGACACACGGCGGGUGCUAACGUCCGUCGUGAAGAGGGAAACAACCCAGACCGCCAGCUAAGGUCCCAAAGUCAUGGUUAAGUGGGAAACGAUGUGGGAAGGCCCAGACAGCCAGGAUGUUGGCUUAGAAGCAGCCAUCAUUUAAAGAAAGCGUAAUAGCUCACUGGUCGAGUCGGCCUGCGCGGAAGAUGUAACGGGGCUAAACCAUGCACCGAAGCUGCGGCAGCGACGCUUAUGCGUUGUUGGGUAGGGGAGCGUUCUGUAAGCCUGCGAAGGUGUGCUGUGAGGCAUGCUGGAGGUAUCAGAAGUGCGAAUGCUGACAUAAGUAACGAUAAAGCGGGUGAAAAGCCCGCUCGCCGGAAGACCAAGGGUUCCUGUCCAACGUUAAUCGGGGCAGGGUGAGUCGACCCCUAAGGCGAGGCCGAAAGGCGUAGUCGAUGGGAAACAGGUUAAUAUUCCUGUACUUGGUGUUACUGCGAAGGGGGGACGGAGAAGGCUAUGUUGGCCGGGCGACGGUUGUCCCGGUUUAAGCGUGUAGGCUGGUUUUCCAGG